UGCGAUGUCGUACUUUUUGUAGAACGGUCCAGCGAGUUAUUGUGUAUGGCGAGGUUAAGUAUUACGUAAGGUACGGAGCCGAAGCGAAAGCGAGUCUGAAAAGGGCGAUAUAAGUCAUGCAUAAUAGACCCGAAACUGAGUGACCUAUCCAUGAGCAGGAUGAAGCUAGAGUAAAAUCUAGUGGAGGUCCGAACUGAUUGUCGUUAAAAAGGCACCGGAUGACUUGUGGAUAGCGGAGAAAUUCCAAUCGAACUCAGAGAUAGCUGGUUCUCCUCGAAAUAGCUUUAGGGCUAGCCUUGAGGGAAUGCAUAUGGGGGUAGAGCACUGAAUGAGGUAGGGGCCUAACCAGGUUACCAAACUCUAUCAAACUCCGAAUACCAUAUGUAAAUACUCAGGAGUCAGACUGCGGGAGCUAAGUUCCGUGGUCAAAAGGAAAACAGUCCAGAUCGUCAAUUAAGGUCCCAAAGAUAUAGCUAAGUGGAAAACGAUGUGAUUUUGCAUAAACAACCAGGAUGUUGGCUCAGAAGCAGCCAUUCAUUCAAAGAGUGCGUAAUAGCUCACUGGUCGAGUGAAGUUGCGCGGAAAAUUACCGGGGCUAAGCUAUACACCGAAAUUGCGGAUUUACAUUUGAAAGACAAUGUAAGUGGUAGAGGAGCAUUCUGUAGUAGGAAGAAGCAUGACCGUAAGGACAUGUGGACGAAGCAGAAGAGAGAAUGCUGGAAUAAGUAGCGAGAGGAUGGUGAGAAUCCAUCCCGUCGAAAAUCUAAGGUUUCCCAGGGAAGGUUCGUCCGCCUGGGGUAAGUCGGGACCUAAGGAGAGGCCGAAAGGCGUAUCUGAUGGAUAGCAGGUUGAAAUUCCUGCACUACGAAUAUACUUAAAAGAUUCAAGGGACGCAGAAGUGGAAGAUAACCAAGUAAGAGGAAAAGCUUGGCUCGCAAGAGGGAGUGAAAAUUAAAAGUAACGAAGUAUCAAGAAGCACGCUGACGAGAAAAGCUUGAAGAUAUUGUAUAUAAGUACCCGUACCGCAAACCGACACAGGUAGAUGAGGAGAGGAUCCUAAGACGAGCGGGAGAAGCAUUGUUAAGGAACUCGGCAAAUUAACCCCGUAACUUCGGAAUAAGGGGUGCUGAUGUAACAGUCAGUCGCAGAGAAAAGGCCCAAGCAACUGUUUAACAAAAACAUAGGUUUCUGCUAAAUCGAAAGAUGAAGUAUAGGAGCUGACGCCUGCCCAGUGCUGGAAGGUUAAGGGAAAGAGUUAGGGUUAAACCGAAGCUUAGAACUGAAGCCCCAGUGAACGGCGGCCGUAACUAUAACGGUCCUAAGGUAGCGAAAUUCCUUGUCAGGUAAGUUCUGACCCGCACGAAAGGCGUAAUGAUUUGGGCGCUGUCUCGACAAUGUCCCCGGCGAAAUUGUAGUACUAGUGAAGAUGCUAGUUACCUGCGAUAAGACAGAAAGACCCCAUGGAGCUUUACUGCAGUUUGAUACUGGGUUUCGAUGAUUUAUGUACAGGAUAGUUGGGAGACUAUGAAAGAGAGGCGUCAGCUUCUCCGGAGUCGUUGUUGGGAUACCAACCUUAAGUUAUUGAAAUUCUAACUUGUAAUCGUAAACCGGUUAGAGGACAAUGUCAGACGGGCAGUUUGACUGGGGCGGUCGCCU
rnacentral:rRNA from 1 species